GACGAACGCUGGCGGCGUGCUUAACACAUGCAAGUCGAACGGUGAAGCGCCUUCCUUUUUGGUGGGUGUGGAUGAGUGGCGAACGGGUGAGUAACACGUGAGUAACCUGCCCCCUUCUUCUGGAUAACCGCAUGAAAGUGUGGCUAAUACGGGAUAUUCUGGGUCUGUCGCAUGAUGGGUCUGGGAAAGAUAUUGUUUCGGUGGGGGAUGGGCUCGCGGCCUAUCAGCUUGUUGGUGGGGUGAUGGCCUACCAAGGCGGUGACGGGUAGCCGGCCUGAGAGGGUGGACGAGCACACUGGGACUGAGACACGGCCCAGACUCCUACGGGAGGCAGCAGUGGGGAAUAGUGCACAAUGGGCGCAAGCCUGAUGCAGCGACGCCGCGUGAGGGAUGGAGGCCUUCGGGUUGUGAACCUCUUUCGCCAGUGAAGCAGGCCUGCCUCGUUUGUGGGUGGGUUGACGGUAGCUGGAGAAGAAGCGCCGGCUAACUACGUG
rnacentral:rRNA from 1 species